rnacentral:rRNA from 1 species
UUAGAGUUUGAUCCUGGCUCAGGAUGAACGCUGGCGGCGUGCCUAACACAUGCAAGUCGAGCGGAGAUUGAUUUAGAGUAUUCGUACGAAGAAUUAAUUUUAGCGGCGGACGGGUGAGUAACACGUGAGCAACCUGCCUUUUACAGGGGAAUAACACCGUGAAAACGGUGCUAAUACCGCAUAAUAUCGAGAUAUGGCAUCAUAUUUUGAUCAAAGGAGCAAUCCGGUAAAAGAUGGGCUCGCGUCCGAUUAGUUAGUUGGUGGGGUAAUGGCCUACCAAGACCGCGAUCGGUAGCCGAACUGAGAGGUUGAUCGGCCACAUUGGGACUGAGACACGGCCCAGACUCCUACGGGAGGCAGCAGUGGGGAAUAUUGGGCAAUGGGGGAAACCCUGACCCAGCAACGCCGCGUGAAGGAAGAAGGCCUUCGGGUUGUAAACUUCUUUGAUCAGGGAAGAAACAAAUGACUGACCUGAAAAACAA